UCUUUAAAAAUAUUUCUCCAUAUUAUUAAGGCUUUUUAAGGCUUUGGAAUUUCAAUAAAGAAUCACGUUUUCAGCAAUUUUGUUUUCCACGUUCAUCUUCAAAAGGUAGAAAUUAGUAUGCUGGACGGCGGUGGAUGGAUGCAUAUUGGACCAAUGGAUCUCCAUCAUGAAGUACUUUAAUUUUUAGAAACACUAGAAUAUUUAUUAACAUUUGAUUAUUAUUAUUUUUAAAUUUAGACUCAAUUGUGAGUCACGUCAUAACUUUCAAUUAGUCCUAUUUUUAUUAUUUGUUAGAACUACUUUUAUUAAUGUUUGAUAAAAGAUAUGAUUCCAAAUUGUUCCGCAUAUGUUAUUUAAUUUAAUUUACCUUUUGUUAA